rnacentral:misc_RNA from 1 species
ACAAACUUGGUCAUUUAGAGGAAGUAAAAGUCGUAACAAGGUUUCCGUAGGUGAACCUGCGGAAGGAUCAUUACCGAGUCCGGGUCUCUCAGGCCCGAUCUCCCAACCCUUGUGUUUAACUAUACCGUGUUGCUUCGGCGGGCCCGUCUCCGGACCGCCGGGCGGUCUUAGACCGUCUGGCCCGUUGCCCGUCGACAGCCCAACCCUAAACUCUGGUUAUAAACGUGUCGUCUAAGUACCAAACAAAUUAAAUCAAAACUUUCAACAACGGAUCUCUUGGUUCUGGCAUCGAUGAAGAACGCAGC